rnacentral:rRNA from 1 species
UACCCACUCCCGGCACGGGGAGGUAGUGACGAAAAAUAACAAUACGGGACUCUUUUGAGACCCCGUAAUUGGAAUGAGUACACUCUAAAUCCUUUAACGAGGAUCUAUUGGAGGGCAAGUCUGGUGUCAGCAGCCGCGGUAACUCCAGCUCCAAUAGCGUAUAUUAAAGUUGUUGCGGUUAAAAAGCUCGUAGUUGGAUCUCAGUUCCAGACGGGCGGUCCGCCUCACGGCGGUUACUGCCUGGCCUGAACAACCAGCCGGUUUCCCUAGAUGAUCUUCACCGGUUGUCUUGGGUGACCGGCACGUUUACUUUGAAAAAAUUAGAGUGCUCAAAGCAGGCGCGACGCCUGAAUAAUGGUGCAUGGAAUAAUGGAAUAGGACCUCGGUUCUAUUUUGUUGGUCUUCGGAACACGAGGUAAUGAUUAAGAGGGACAGACGGGGGCAUUCGUAUUGCGACGCUAGAGGUGAAAUUCUUGGACCGUCGCAAGACGAACUACUGCGAAAGCAUUUGCCAAGAAUGUCUUCGUUAAUCAAGAACGAAAGUUAGAGGUUCGAAGGCGAUCAGAUACCGCCCUAGUUCUAACCAUAAACGAUGCCAACCAGCGAUCCGCCUGAGUUCCUCAAAUGACUCGGCGGGCAGCUUCCGGGAAACCAAAGUGUUUGGGUUCCGGGGGAAGUAUGGUUGCAAAGCUGAAACUUAAAGGAAUUGACGGAAGGGCACCACCAGGAGUGGAGCCUGCGGCUUAAUUUGACUCAACACGGGAAAACUUACCCGGCCCGGACACUGGAAGGAUUGACAGAUUAAGAGCUCUUUCUUGAUUCAGUGGGUGGUGGUGCAUGGCCGUUCUUAGUUGGUGGAGCGAUUUGUCUGGUUAAUUCCGAUAACGAACGAGACUCUAGCCUACUAAAUAGGCGUUCCGAUCGUUUCAGUCGGACGUUCUUCUUAGAGGGACAAGCGGCGUUUAGCCGCACGAGACAGAGCAAUAACAGGUCUGUGAUGCCCUUAGAUGUCCGGGGCCGCACGCGCGCUACACUGAAGGAAUCAGCGUGUGCUUUCCCUGUCCGGUAGGACUGGGUAACCCGAUGAACCUCCUUCGUGAUAGGGAUAGGGGCUUGUAAUUGUUCCCCUUGAACGAGGAAUUCCCAGUAAGCACGAGUCAUAAGCUCGUGUUGAUUACGUCCCUGCCCUUUGUACACACCGCCCGUCGCUACUACCGAUUGAAUGAUUUAGUGAGGUCUUCGGACUGGCGCUCGGCUGCGGCCUCCGUUGCGCCGUCGUGCCGGAAAGAUGACCGAACUUGAUCAUUUAGAGGAAGUAAA